ensembl:lncRNA
UUUCUUUCCUUAUUGCUUUUCAGUUUUAACAGUUUCACUUCUACCCAAAGACUAGAGCCUGUAUGAAAAUGCUUUCAGUUCAGCUGGGCCUCUUCCUAUCUUAUCAAAUAACAUUAGCUUACACUCCAUUUAUACCACAUAUAUCCUUAGAAACUCUCUUAGCUUUUAACCUGCCAUGUAGAUUAAGACCUCAUUACAUUUCAUACUGUCUUCGGCAUGAUCAUGUUACCUAAUGUUAAAGAUUUUGAAGCAACAUAAUCAGCACUGAUACAGAAUGAAAGCAGAGGGAUCUUUCAUCAUAUGGUUGCUUGUGGCUUCAUUUGCUAGAAUAUGCUCUCAGUUCGGUCUGCUCUGCAUUGAUGCAUGUGGUCUGUCUGGACAAAGCUAACUGACUGUUUCUGAAUUUAAAUGAACACAUCCAUGCUCAUAGAUCAACCGUGGGUACCUGAUAAUCCAUAAAUGUGUGCAUAUAUGUACAGACAUGUAUGCACAUACAUAUAUUUAUUUCAUAUUUUAUAAUCUUGAAUAAGCACAGGAAUAAAGUUCUUCUACAUUUUUCUGGCACUUCUCACAAAUCUGUAGAAAAAUGUUUUUUUGGAAAGGAAUAACUGAAAUCAAAUUGGGGAAUGCGCUCUUCUCCUGCUUCAGCGUUUGCAUUAUAGCAGCUACAGGCAACUGUUUCUGAGACUGACAUUUUUUAAUUUGAACAGAGUAAACAAAAGAAAUUGCUGUUAGUCCAGUUUUGUUGAUACGUUACAAAAAUACCAAAGGACUUGUUCUGUUUUCUCGAUCACCACUCCCAUCGCAGUGAAUACUUUUGCUACCAAUCCAGACUUCAAAAUCUACUAUCCCGGCAACAUUUCUGGUCCUCUGUCACAGAAAAUCCUGAGAAAGAGUGAAAAAGAGCUCUCAGUCUUAUACAACACAUGUCCCUUGAGGAUAUGAGCAUUUCACAACAGUUCUGUAUUUGCCUUAAAGACAAGUAAUUUAACUGAAAGGAUGCAGUCCAUUGCUGGCGUGCAGAGCAUAGGCAGGAGCUGCCCACAGCAGCAGCAGGAGCACAGAAAUUGAAUUCAAGUUUUCCAGCAGUUUGACCUGGAGGUCUAACAUUUCUUUUCCCAUUUCUCCUCUGGGUGCUCAGCUAAUCAUCCAUAAGUCUUUGUCAGGGCAUGAUGAGACCUCCCUACAGGAGAGCACUGAUCAACAAUCCUUCAAUGCGUUUCUCCACUUACUUUCACUCUUAAAAUGAUUCUUUCUGUUCCAAAGGAUUAGGCAGUGUAAUGACAUCGUAUCAUUUUCCUCUUAGAAGCACCUUGGAUUGACUAUUUUUUGUGAGGGAUAAAAAUAAGGAUGAAAGAGGAACAGAAGAAAGAUCAGCUCUCCACAGAUGCUUGGUAUAAUCUUCUCCUCUGACAAACUGCCCCUCUCAGCUUAUCCCUCCAAACCAAUCUCCUCCCCUGUGCCAAGGAAGAACUACAAACCCAGCAGGAUGAGGCCCUCCCCUGCCUUAGCCCCAAUAGCCACUCAGAGGGCUUCCCCGUGUCACAUCCGCUGUAAACUCCGCCAUGCUUUUCCUGUGUCUGCACAACAUCUCAGCUCAUUAGGGAGACACGAGAUAGCAGAAGGCCCGAUACGGCUUGCUGUGGAUCUCCUGAGCCUGCGAGAUCCUACUUCCCCUAUCACGCAUGCAUGGGACCCUUCACUUUAACCCAGCCAUGCCUUUUGUCUGAAGGGGAGAGACUAUUUAUGAGGAGUCAUACAAAAUAAACAUGAAGAGUUCACCAUAAAAUAUGACAACCACUUUAAAUAAUGUUGACUUAAUUAAACUUUAAACUUUAUUUAUAUAUUUUAUGGCUGUAGUGUGAGCUCUUCUCGGAUGUUUACUUCAGUGAAAAAUCCAUCAUGUGAGGGCCUUGAAAGGAAUUAAUCCCCUUACCCCUGGCACAGAACUCAGCUCCAACAAUUCAGAUCUAAAUAUUUAGUGAUGGAUGAUACAUGUUUAUAGAACAGAGGGCAGCAUGACAUUUAAAUGGGAUCCGGGGUUGCUAUAGUGAGCGUACAUUGUUGAAAAGAAACGGGAAGCUGAAGCCAUGCCAAUUAUCGGAAGCUGAUAAGUCAGCUCCUUUUUGCCUGAUUUUUUUUCCCUUCCAUCUUUCCCUUCUGGGUUUUCAAAGGCUUCUUCACAGAGGGUUAUGAGCAAUUUUCAGAAGGAAAAGUUCUGCUGACUCUUGUACAUUUGGUAGUGCAUCCCAUGGUUAAACUAAUAGCCUUGUUGGGUGUCAGCCAAAGGUUACAGGCCUCUCAAAAUAUUCUUGGAAAAAAAAAGAGUUUAUCACUGAACUGAAGUUUCUCAUUAGUAACCCUCUGUUGUCUAAUCUGUGAAAUUACAUGAUUAACUCUUUUGCAGAGACAGUUUCAGCCAGAGUUUGCAAUCCCACAGGAAGUUAUUAAAAGUAUCACCAAGAUAAUUUCCCUGCUUUGUACUUGGCCCUCAGGGUAAAGGAAAUACAUCAUUAGACGAGUACUUUAUAAUAAAGCUAUAGAUCACUAACAAUUAUUAAAUGGCUGUCAAGAAUGAUUAUUAUUUUAAAAGUUGAGGACUGUGUAAUUUGAAAAACAAAUAAAAAACCUUGAAAGAAAUUACUUCCUUUGUUUUUGUAUAGAAAUUAGAAACAUGCCCUCUCCCCCAUUCUCUUUGAAGUGAUUGGAAUAUAAUCUUCCUCUGUACACAGCCGUCUUACCUUCAACAUUUCUUUUUGCAUCCCUAAAAAUACUCUUAAGGAAAGCAUCAGCUCACUAUUGAGAUGAAAUACCUCAGGGACACAGAGGAUAGCAGGACUUUAUUGCACAUGUUGAGAUGUUCAUGAGCUGUGAACUCCGGAUGCUUCAAGUCACUGAAGCAGAGGUGGUGGUCCUUGGAUUUUGGUGAAAGUUGAACUCAGGGAUAUUUUGGACACAGAAUACUUUCCAAUCAUGUGUUCUAGCUGAAGUCACUUGCAGAUGUUUUUCAUGAUUUGUUGUGCUUGUUUCUGGCUUCCUUAUGAGCUCCUCCCAGAUCAAUGGGUGCUUUGGUUUGCAUGUUUUGGGAGGAGGGGUGACAGUUAGGAUCUGUAUUAUCCUCCCCAGCUAGUUACCAAGGCUUUUAUUAUUAUUAUUAUUAGUAGUAGUAGUAUUAGUAUUAGUAUUAUUAUUUUAUUAUUGUUAGUGGAAAAGUGGUGAGAAGGAGAUGCCAGCCAUGCCUACACAGACAUCCAGGCUGUGAGAGUGAUCCUGUGAUGCAGUUGUCCUGCAGGGAUGGUGGUGGGAGAUCCAGAUGGAUCACGUGAAAGUCGUUAGAGGUUUGAAAGAUGUGAAGCAUUUGGAACCAUGAACCAAGAAGGGCUUUUCUGGUACUCAAAUUACAUCGAGCCAAACAAUUCUGCACUACAGACAUCAGCUUUAUAGCCAUCAGAAAACAGAUGGAAUUCAAAAUAUAGUAAAUUUGUUCCUCUGAGCAACUAUAAAAUGAAGACGGGUACCAUACACCUGUAAGAAAAAAGUAUUCAUAUUCCUGUGAUAAAUCAGCUCUUUCAUCCAAGUUGAUUUUAGGAAUUAACCACACAUCCUCACAGCUCAGCAUUCAUGGUUUCAUCUCAUUAUGGUGCCUCAGUAUGACUAAUGCAUGCAUGCAGUAUCACCUAGGAGAGCUGAAAUCUAGUCUCAGCUGCAUAAAUGUUCUAUCAGGUCAAGUGAUUUGAUCUUUUUAGGCCACGUUAUUUCUUUCCCUAAUAACUUCUUCCUGACCUUAUGUAAGCCAUGAUCUCCUAAGAGAGAAGUCAGUAAACUGUAUAAACACAAAAUACAUUCAUACAUUUUCAAUAUACACAUAAUUUUUGAAGAAUUAGAAUUUAGAAUGGUGCUGUUCCUCACAACAUUUCAUAUCACUUUCAUUGGUUAAAACUGGUAUCAUUUUAAGUGUUUAAAAUAAAAUUCACUCAUAUCUGCUCAUUCUUAUUUUUGAAAAGUGAUCUGAGAAUGGCCUGGAUUAAUUCUUAAUCCUUUCAAAGCUUAACCUAAGAUCUACAUGUCCAGCACUUUUCAUGAAGUUUAAAUAGGGGAGGAAACUUUGUCUAAUUUGGUGUAUUCCUCUAGUUCUAGUUUCUAAAAAUAAAAUGACUGGAAGCCAUCCGUGCAAGAUACGGUAACUCAGGCUCUGUAACCUUGCAUGAUCUGCAAAUGGAAGAGAAUUAAUUUUUGUGGCAAUUUGUAGUAAAGAAAGGAGAGAGAAAAUUUUCUCUACUGUCAUUAGCUGAUUUAAAAAGAGUUGACUUUUUAUUCUUUCUGCAGAAAAUCUUCAGACACAAAAAAAUCUGGAAUAUAUUCAAAGUUCUUCUGCCUAAAUAAAUUCAACCUAAAUCUUUUGAGGUUACUUUAUUACAAAGGGUGAGGCCUGAAUUUCAACAUGAGGUGAAAACCUUUGAAGAUCCAUCAGAUCUCCAGAGGAGUACUACAGGAUUUGCAAAAGGGAGCUCAGAGAAAUACAUUCCCAAAUAGAAAGUUUUAGCUGUCUAUGCAGGUAUCCAUAAUUCCAUGGAAAAACUUACAGGAGUCUGCAGACUGUAAAACACUGAACAUACUGACAUACAUGCUGCGUGCAUAUCUUCAGAAUAGAAAAGCAUUACUAAAAAAACCUACAAAUGUUAAUACAAAAUCUUUCAGUCGUGGCUCUGUCUUUGAACUGGGAUUUUAUAGCAUAGAUCUCUGAAACUGUACAAGAUAACCAAAUGUGCACUUCAGAGCAGAUCAGAAAAACAGUAUCUAUCAACACAAUUCUGAUUUGGGGGAUGAAUUAAGUAUGCAAUUUUCUUCCUGCAGUUUCUCAUUCUCAGGAGUUGUACUCUCACUGAAGUUGUGAAACAAUGGGGAAACAUUAAUUCAUAUAAUUAGAGAUAUUGCAACUUUAUGCAUGCGAGAGAAUCAAUGUAAUUAGAGACCAGGAAGACAUCGGUUCUUGCAGAUGAAUGUUUCCAUCAACACACAGAGCAGGUAAUACCUCAUUCUGCCGUUAUCUACUGUGCAUCUGAUACUUCCAAGAGAUAUAUAUAAGUGUACUUUUGAUUUUACUGUUGUUUACAUCUUUAGAUCUCUGGGAGUAGCUGUUGUUUUGUUUUCUUCUCAAAACCAGUUUGAUGCAGCUGACAAUUGAGCUUCUUUCUGCACUAGUGACUCAUUUUCCUUCUUUCUCUACUGAUUUCCCUUACCUCUAUCAUGCAAGAAAAAGGUCACACAGGUAGAAAAGAUAGCUCCAGCAUCUGAUCAAAGUUGUAUUUUAGAUCACAACAUAACUCUUGCAGGAGAAAUCUUGUGUAACUCUCUUUUCACUAAAAAAAAUAUGGCCCCAUUAUAUUUAAAUUACUUUUAUUGGUUCCCAUUCUAUUUUGAGAGAUGUUGGCCCUGGUUGUUUGUGUCCAAAAUGCAAUUUAAUCAUCAGCCAGUGAAAGAUUAUGAUCUGUAUGUAUUCGUGGCAUUUGCAAAACAUGAUGAUAACUCUAUAUUGCCUCUUCUGGGAAGACGGAAGAAAGCUCUCCUCUGGAGAUGGAUGUUUCCAACAACAUCUCCCUUCCCUGCCACCAAGUGGCUGCUUUGCAUCGCUGGAGGCAGUAGGAAUACAGCAGAUUGCAACUCAAGGAGAACCUCUCAUCUUCUCAUCACUCUGCUUCAGUAAACUGUUUGGUGCUUUUAGCCCUUCAUAAUUCAAGAAAAACUGUUUCAUUUUCUUUCCUAAAACUUGGUUGUUUUCCAUUGGAUGUAAAAACUAACAGGAAUUUUUCCUUAUUAGGUAAGUAUAAUGCUGUACUGAUUAAGCCAUUUGUUUAUAUUCAAUGAUAUUCAUCACUACCUGCAAUUAGAUCAUACCAAAUUCUCUGACCUUGACUUGAACAUGUUGCUUUACCCUUUUCUCCCUUGGCUAACCAGUAUGUCUGUGGCAGAUGAGUGAGGAUCUGGAAGAAGGCAUUUCUUCCUUGGGUGGCAGAAAGUUUCUCCCUGGCAUCAUGUGAACAGCCACAUGGACAUUCUCAAAACUCACAGAAGUUGUCCUUCGAAAGAAAUCAGUUCACCUCCAGUCUUUUGCUUGGGCAGCUCAAGGCAAAAUAAUUUUCAGUCUAUAAACAGAGAGCUUGACCUACUCAUCUUAGCCAGUCUGUGUAAACAGAUCAGUUCAUCAGAGAGGUGAUGCAGGUUUCAGAAGCAAAAAGGACACCCUCUGCAUGUGUGGGACAGAUACUGCCUUGCUGCCCUAUUCUCCUCUGAGCUUGUGACUUCAGGAUGCUUCCUCUGUCAGGUCAUCCCAUGCAUGGUAAGAGGAGAGAAAAGGGGAAUUGCUGCUCUGUGUCUAUGCAUCAGUAGGUACCAAGUGACUAAUGGCAGGGCAGGGAGUAACCUCAGGGUACUUGGCUUUCAGCAUAUUCAGAGGGAAAUGGUCAGAGAAGAUGGAAGAGGGGGAGUACCUGUUGCCAAAUGACUGUGAUUACAGUAGUGGCAAACGUCCAGGGAAACAGAGCCUCAGUUCUGUUUUAUCAGGAUCCUUUGUAAAUUGCUAUUAAGAAGUAUUUUUCAACAAUCUCAUUUUUAUUAGCCGUUUGUGCCCAUUAUAGUUUUCUAGUUGCUAGUUUGUUAUGGCUGUAACAUAAAUAAAGUUCUAAAAAUGUCUCAUUUGAGAAAUUGCAGAGCUGGGCAUGCCAUUUAGACACAGAUAAAAGCAGAUGUAAAGGGCUUUCUUUGUAAUGGGUCUAUUUUAUAUUUAAUACAACUGUCAUAUAAAGCUAUACUAGCAUUUAAAAUGCAGUUUCUAGGCCAUAAAACAAACACCAUUUCUAAUAUUGCUGUUGGCUUUCACCUAUGGGACACGGUUCAUUAAAAGCUCUCAAAGGUAUUUAUGUGGGACUGCCAUAUGAUUUACAAUCUAAGAGCCACCCCAGGCAACAAAUGUGUUUCUCCCCCACCUUUGGAACCAUUCUUCAGAAAUAUUAAUUAUUCCUGCAGCACCUCUCAGCCAGACAGGACUGGUACCAUCAGUGGUGUAGUGCUGGCGGGGACUGGCACACCUUUUAUAGCAGAGCUCCUUCCUCCUUCAGGGACAUUACACCUGAGAAUCACUUUUGCAUUUGGUUUUCUUCACUGAACUUUGUAAAACAAGUGUUACCACAAAAAAAAAAAAAGAAAAAAAAAAAAGAAAAAAAAAGAAAUGUAGCUGUCUCAGGUAUCCGUGGGAAGACUGCCUGUGCUGAGCUUAUGAAUUGGCUUGUUUGCUUGUCUGAGUUGGGCUGAAUCACCUGCUGGAGAUUCCCACUUCUCUCCAUUGUCUGUAGAAAUAGGCAUCCAUAAGAGGUGGUGACAAUAAGGUGGAAAAACCUGAACCCAAGUUCUGCAUUACAGAUGCAGUGCAAAGAUGUGAGACAGCUCAGGGACACUGCCUCUGACUUGACACUCAGUUACAUCACAGGAUAAAAUACACUUUCCUACUAAACCUGUUGUUCAGGAACCUUUGGGCUUCUUUCCUAAAGCAGUAAGGAUACUCAGAUCGUCAUGUACCCCAGUGUCCUUCCCAGUGAGACCAGGAGCAUGUAGUUCCCUCUCUCUGAAUUUCUGCCAUUAAUAGCAUCUCCUAAAGUCCAAAGGAAGAAGCCCGAGGAAGGGGAAAAGCAACCAGCGCUCCACUCUGCAGAGUGCCUGGAUCAAUCCCUCCAUGGCUGUCAGCUGGCACACACUGAUCCUGUGAUGCUCUGCUUGCUGGGCCAAAGGGCAACAUUACUGUUAUUAGACAUGAAACCUCUCCUAAAAGUUCAUUAGAUCUCUGGCUCUGGCUCCUCAUAGCUUUGUUAGACUUCAACUGGAUGUACUGUUAUAUUCCAUGCAUCAAGCUGAUUAUUAUUUGUUUAAUAGAGCAAAAUAUUUCAGCCAUUUCUGAGCCAGGCUGUGUGGGGGAAAUAUAUUGUUUCACUGAUAUAUAUAUAUAUAUAUAUAUAUGAUAUAUAUAUAUAUAUAUUACUGUUAGCAGCUUCUUCUCCAAAUACGCCCAUGCUUUGCAGAGGGCACUUCAGACUUGGCAAGGACAAGGUACUUUCUGCUAAUCAAGUGUCUACUAUUUUCUGUUUUGAUUCAAAUCUAACCAAAAUCUAUUGUUUUGAAAAAUUAGAUGAAGUGUGAUAAAUUGAGGUAUUGAGUUAAAUAUUUUAAAAUUAAACUUUAAUUUUUAGCUAAAUUUUUGAAAGAAACCUAUUCUUACUAGGUAUUUUCAACAUCCUCACAACCCAUGAAUGCACCAAAAUGGUCCCACACAGACCAGCUGACCCAUGGUUAUUGAAAAUCUACUGGGUUUACAUGAACAGAAAAGAUGAAUUUUGGUUCAGACAGCUGAAAGCUAGGCUCUAGGUAUAGCAUCUGGCUGAGUCUUUAAGGUGAUACCAACAGGUUUACCUACAGUUUACAUUUGGGUUGAGCAAUUCCAGUUAAAGGAACUGUGAUGUGACAGGAAGAAAAAAAGAAUGGAAAAAAUUAGGACUCAGACAUUUCACAUUGUGCCAUGAAGAUGAGUGAUGACUAGGAACUCCCAAUUUUCAUCUCCUGGCCUAAAUCUCCAUUAGGUUCUAUCGCUAAAUAGGACAAAAAGUGGCAAAAAGAACUCAGUAUUUUUGGAAUAACAAGCAAUCAAAACAAAAACAUCUCAGUUAGACAAUUUGCAAAUGAAUCCUGAGUGGAAAUACAACCUUAUCUUUCCUUAACAGUCUUCAGUUUAUUCAGAUUUGGAUAUAAAUUUUUAAAAAACCCACUCACUUAACAACAGACACUUCACAGCAGCCCAUGUGUUAGGAUCCAAGAUGUUCACAGCCUCCUUAUAUUCAAAUGACAAACUUAAAUGGUCAGAAUCACCAGCGGGAGAUAUGUUCCUUCCCUGGCUGCAGUAGGGGGUCCAUGCUGACCAGCCUCACCAAGCACCUCACUGAAGUGUGUGGGAUGAGUCCAGAUGGAGUGGCCAAUCUCCAGGAUUUUCAAACACACUGCAGCUGUGUUAGGGGGAAAAGCCUGGGCAAUGUUGCCCUCAAGGCUACUGAGCAUAAAGGGAGGACAGAAGGUUUUCCAGCCAUGGUCUCCAUGCUGCCACUUAACCUUCUGUCUUGGAAAGGACCUUCCAGUUCCAUUUCUUUACAAGUGGUAUUUAUAUUCCAGAAGUUCCUGAAAGCCUCUAUUCUACUACGCCAGGCAUUGAACAGAGAUUCAUAUAAUUCUGAAGCUGUAUUUGGAUAGGUAUCUUCAUCAUAAAUGAAGUUCUACUAUUGCAUGCACUAAUGCAGACUCAAGAAAGUUAAAUAUCCUAUCUUUCCAAAAUCAGACUACCCUUAAGGAUUGUAAAUGCCUGGAAGAGAAGCAUGUGCCAAAGUCUAGGCGUAUCCUGAAGUCACGUUGAAUUUAAUGCACUCUUAAGAACCUUGCACAAGAGGUCUAACACAGAGCUGCCUGGCAACCAGGAGAAAUCAUGUGGAGGACAGGGAGUGGUAAUUACUUCCUUAUGACCCAUCCCCAAACAGAGUGGAGCUCUGGCACAGGAGAGAGUCUGGCCUAUAGCGUGUAAAUAAAUAACAAGCAAAUCAAAUCAAAGCAAAGCCCAAGCUGUAUGAAGUGUUUAACACAGCAUGGCUAUAGUUUUACACUGUCUCAAGGCUACGAAAGGCAAGCCAUCAUACUUUGAUUCAGGUUCUCAAAAUAAUUUUAAGUGCCAUAAAUGAUGAUUUUUUAUUUAUUUUUAAAUGAAAUCUCCUAUCCUGGAGCUGCCUUUUGAAGAUAAAUAGAGCUAACAAAGAUAGUGCGUUUCAACAAAAACAUUUGUAAGUGACCCUUGCUACAUGGAGAAAUGUAGUUUGAGACAGAAAUAUAAUUCCUUUAAAAUUGGCAGGUUAAUCUUUAAAUUCAUUAGUAAACUUCAGAAGAGCCUGCAUCUUGGAUUUUUCUAAAAUCUACAAGAAAGACCAUUUUUUAUCUAAAGCAAUCGGAAAAACAAUUGCCAGGAGGAUCAAAUUAACAUUUAUAAAUGAGUGUUUUAAAGCAAUUACAAAUCAAAGCUGGCAUUUGUUCUAUGGAUUACAUGAAUUGCAUGAAUCACAUGCUAUAUUGACAAGUUACGUUCUCAGGAUACUGGAGCUAGGAUGUCUAACUUUCAUGGGCCAGCAAUGCACAAACCAGGUUCAGAAAACUGCUGUAAUCUGAUAAAAGAUGGCUGGGGAAAGAUGGCAGACAGCUCAGCUGGCAAAUGCCUGCUAUCCUUCAGUAUGAAAAGAGGAGUAUAUGUAAGAACCUGGGAAGUUUGGGUGGAAUGUUCGUCUAGAGUAGGAAAAAAAAAAAAAGUGAGUUUAAAUCUCUGCUACUUUAGUAAAAGUUACUGAGAAAAGUUGUCACGUUGUUUAAUUCUGGCUGAGAGGGGAUCUGAUGCUCUACUGUGUAUAUGAAUAUUUCUAACAUCCUGUGGAAAAAAAAUGGGAUUGAUUGAGUCUGGCUGGGAACACGCAAGAACCUAUCAUGAUGAGAAGGCAAAACUGAAUAAGUGAGAAGCUCAGCAGCAACACCCACUUACUCUAUGAGGGCAAGAAGAGGAAUCCUAGAUACUUCACCUAUAACUUUCAACUUUGACAGAACCUAUAUGUUGGGAUGUGCCACUGAAGACCAGGAAUUGUGGCUUCAGCUCCUCUUCUUGGGAGUUAGUUUUGGUGCCCAUCUGGCUUGUUUCUUUACUGUGAAAACUGGCACAGAGGGGACUUGACUAGAAUGGGACUGAUUAUGCCCAAGUUAUGCUGUUCCAACCAGGAAGCAAGAUGUCAAGGCAAGGACCCACUCCUCAAACUUUGAACAGAUCCAGUGUCACACAAACAUCAGCACCGAUCCGCAGAAAUAAAAAUGUCUGUCAACUGGUAGUUGAUAGACAUCAAAAUGACAAGAAGUUAUUUAAUCUUGCUGCCUGGUGGCUGGACAAGGAAACAAUUCAACAUGAGAAAACUAUGAUCUGAAUUAGUCUGGGUACCACAUUUACUGAUCUUGACCCUAGCGAGACAAAGCUGAACAAUAUGUUUCCAGCCUCUGUCAGUAGUUAAGACAGUGGUGAGUACUGAAGCCUAUGUGAGACAAAUGACUGAAACUGAGGAGGGGAACAUCCCAACAGAGAGAACAGUGAAGCAACCUGUGUCUGCUCAGGGUAUUGCCAAUCAGUCUGCUGGGGAAGAUGACUUCAGGAUCCACAGAUCAUGAUGCCCAAAAGAGACCUCUCAGUCAGUCCCUCAGCUCUACCAGCCUAUGGGGAAACCAUAGGACCACUCUGGAAGGAAGGAACCUCAGGAGGGCUCUGGUCGCACCCUGAUGCUCAGAGAUGGCUCAGCUGUGACACAAACUGGAAUGAUCGGGUCUGCUCAGGCCACAGAAAGGACUAUCCCCUAGAAAAAGGAAGUGCAAAUCUCUCUCACCAGAGAACACAUGCUUCCCCUCGACACUGCCAUCGCUGCGGGUGCACUGGAUUGUUCUGCUGUCCUCAGAUAGGAACCUGCUGCUGCUGCCUGACCACAACAGCUGGGAAUAUUCUGCUUUUAAAAGCUUAUCUUGUUGAUACUUGAGUUGAGCUAUUACACAGUGGAACAAGCAAACAGAAUGAAUGGACCCUCUGCGGGCAACUUAUGGUGCUUACUGAAUCUUCUACAGCUGUGCUAACAGUUCACAAACAAAGCUGGGCUUUGAGUGUGAUACCUUCCAAAGAGGAAUGGUUUGGGGCAUUAGACGUAGAAGAAGAAGCAUCUUGUUGCUAAUCAAGAACAUCCUUAUUGCUGUGUGGUCCUCUCAGGUUUAGAGGUCAGAGUUUCCCUCCACAGCAUUCUUGUCUUGACAAAUGAUCGUUGCAGCAACUAGACAGGUCUGAGAUAAACCAGCAAACAUACUAAUGAAGACAAGAACUGUCCUGAGGAAAUACCUCCUAUUAGUUAAUAAGCAGACACAGUGGUCUGGAUUAGGAAGGAACAUGACAACAUUGUUGAAAAUGAAGAUGUGUAUCCUCAGUGAAGCCAAUGAGUCCACAGAAGCCAGGACUGUGUAACCUGCUGCUGCACAUCAGGAUUCCAGAAGAGGAAAUGAACACUACGAAUAGUGAGAGCAAUAAUACACAAGGGGCCUACUUUACUGCUAUUGUUUCUUCUUCUGUAAUACCCCUGGUGAGUUUUCAGAGAUGGCAGGGAGCAAGUGCAACCAUAGUGCAAGUGAAAUUACCAUCCUUACUAUUGACCAAUGAUAGGAGAAAACCUCACAUCAAGAAUGUGCUCAAGUCAUCCAAGAUCAAAUGAAGACUAUCAGAUGAAUAGUUAUUACACUCCUCCCAGGAGCAAAUGAGAGAUGGGAACCCUCAGGAUGGGCAGAGCCAUCCAUGCUGAACACUUGCUGUCUCCAGCCUUGCACAAAAUUAAUGUUACAGACGGAUACCUAUGUUUCUAAAGCCUCGAUGCUGCUAUACUUUAAUAUCUUGAACUAAAUUAAUGGGUGAGACAGCAAAAACAGCCCAACAUCCUUCUUUCCCUUUCUUCUUCCUCUCAAAAAAACACUUAUUUUGGAGUGAAAUAAGAUUAAAACUUGUGUUUCAGUGGAGCUUACCUGAAGCAAGAACAUAUUAGAACUUCUCCAGAAUAAUAUUUCCAUCUUAAGACAUCUAAAAAUGUUAAUUAUUGGACAUUAAUAGCCGGAAAUAUUGCAAAAUAAAAUUGUUAAAAGUCAAAGUUAUGUCAACAAUAAUUACUUUGCUGUCCAGGUAUUAUUCAAGCUUACCAGAAACCUCAAUAAACAAAUAAAAAC